ACUUCUGGAAAGACUGGGAUAUGCUCAAAAGGAGAGAGCUGACAGCCAUGUGAGACACACACAAUGGAGCUGGAAUUCUCUAAACAGUUUUACCGGACAUACGAGCCUUCAGAAUGAAGACCCAAAGGUGCCAGGAAAGCAAUCCAUUUUUAUGCUUAGGUUCAAUGGAAAACAGAAUUCCUGUCUUCCGGAUGUGGAGCAAGACCCCUUCGGAAAUGAGAAUCUUAUGACUUAGGAUAACUUGCAGUCAAACAAGAGUAUGCCAGCUGGUUUGCUCAAGCCUCAGUUGGUAAUUGUGCAUAAGAGACUGCUGCUCUUAGACAUCCCAAUGCAAAAGUCUCACUUAUUCAGGUCUCAUGUGCUCCUAAACCAACUUGAAACACUUUCCUUACUCUAGGUG